ACUUUCCUGACUACUCCACAAGACUGGGAUGUGGGGACUGACCAUGCCAGCCAGAAAGUCCCUGGAACAAAUCAGCACCUGACCAGAUAUUCUCGGGCUCUCAACAUUUGUCUGACACCCAUCUGGAAAGGCACCAACAACCUAAGGUUGUCAGAUGAAAGAAUAUAAGUUCUUAGAAACUUCACAAAAACUGUGGCGGUGGGCAUGCUCCUUUAUGCCAGAGCAUGGAAAACAGCAGGAUAAAAAGAAAGGGAUCACAACCGAAUGUAUGCGGGAUCUAUAGGAGGCUGGGAAAGAUCCUGUCCUGAUGACAUCAUGGAAAAUUCACUUUUCAAGACACCUUUGCCAUCACCCAGGACUCCAGGAAAACAAGGCAAUUGGGGUUAAGUGACUUGCCCAGGGUCACACAGCUGCUAAAAUGCUCCCAUCAAGUAGAGGCAAAGAGAUUCCUAAGAAGACUCCUAAGAAAAUUUAGGAAAGUGGCAACUGAAGGGAUUCCUGAGACAAAUUGAACAACUUUAGAAAAUGAUGAUCAACUGUUCAAAUAUCCAUAGAAAUCCUCCUUGUAUGCCUCAUCACCCGUAUCAACAUGGCAUCAGGGCCCAAACUAUCUGGCAGUCAUACAGCAAGCUGGAACAACUUAAGAUCUGGACCAGGGAUGAGCUGUGUCAGAAAGUGACCAGUCUAGCAAAGUUACAAGGGGUUCAUCUCCAGUAGCUGGUCUACCAUGCAAUGACUUUUUUGGGGGAGAAGUGGGAAAGCCCACCACUUAGAAAGUCUAAAGUGUGAAGGGGUAGGGUCUGCACCAGUGAAGAGGAUAUUCAUACCAGUAAACUUGUGGAUAUUUGAAAUAUUGAACUAAAAAU